UACGGAGGGUGCAAGCGUUGUUCGGAGUUACUGGGCGUAAAGAGUCUGUAGGCGGCCUGGCGUGUCCGCAUGUCCAAUCUCCCGGCUCAACCGGGAGCCGCGGCGGAAACUGCCAGUGCUGGAGGGCGGGAGAGGAAAGCGGAAUUCCGGGUGUAGCGGUGAAAUGCGUAGAGAUCCGGAGGAACACCAGUGGUGAAGACGGCUUUCUGGACCGUUGCUGACGCUGAGAGACGAAAGCGUGGGGAGCAAACAGG
rnacentral:rRNA from 1 species